CCACAGGUUUUAAUAGAAACCAUAAAAUUACAGCAGAAGGUGGAGU
rfam:Maribacter arcticus strain DSM 23546 genome assembly, contig: LX93DRAFT_scaffold00003.3